rnacentral:rRNA from 1 species
UGGGGAAUUUUGGACAAUGGGGGAAACCCUGAUCCAGCCAUCCCGCGUGUGCGAUGAAGGCCUUCGGGUUGUAAAGCACUUUUGGCAGGAAAGAAACGUCAUGGGUUAAUACCCCGUGAAACUGACGGUACCUGCAGAAUAAGCACCGGCUAACUACGUGCCAGCAGCCGCGGUAAUACGUAGGGUGCAAGCGUUAAUCGGAAUUACUGGGCGUAAAGCGUGCGCAGGCGGUUCGGAAAGAAAGAUGUGAAAUCCCAGAGCUUAACUUUGGAACUGCAUUUUUAACUACCGGGCUAGAGUGUGUCAGAGGGAGGUGGAAUUCCGCGUGUGGCAGUGAAAUGCGUAGAUAUGCGGAGGAACACCGAUGGCGAAGGCAGCCUCCUGGGAUAACACUGACGCUCAUGCACGAAAGCGUGGGGAGCAAACAGG